rnacentral:rRNA from 1 species
CCUACGGGAGGCUGCAGUGGGGAAUAUUGGACAAUGGGGGGAACCCUGAUCCAGCCAUGCCGCGUGUGUGAAGAAGGCCCUCGGGUUGUAAAGCACUUUCAGUGAGGAAGAACGCCUGGUGGUUAAUACCCAUCAGGAAAGACAUCACUCACAGAAGAAGCACCGGCUAACUCCGUGCCAGCAGCCGCGGUAAUACGGAGGGUGCGAGCGUUAAUCGGAAUUACUGGGCGUAAAGCGCGCGUAGGUGGCUUGAUAAGCCGGUUGUGAAAGCCCCGGGCUCAACCUGGGAACGGCAUCCGGAACUGUCAAGCUAGAGUGCAGGAGAGGAAGGUAGAAUUCCCGGUGUAGCGGUGAAAUGCGUAGAGAUCGGGAGGAAUACCAGUGGCGAAGGCGGCCUUCUGGACUGACACUGACACUGAGGAGCGAAAGCGUGGGUAGCAAACAGGAUUAGAUACCCUAGUAGUC